UCAACACUGGUUAAUUAUGCCAGGCAAUGGGAGAAAAUGUAUGGUUCAGUGAGGGAGGGCAGAGGAGAGAGAGCACAUUUAGGCCAUAAUGCAAAACUUUUGGAAGGCAAUGGAAAGACUCCCGUUAACUUCACCGGGCUUUGGAUUGGGGCCCAAAUGAAGAGAAGGGAUUGUAAAAGGGGAAGGAGGAUUAGCCUCCUGCAUGUAGAGGAGUCUUCGAAGGAACGGAAGCUCUCGUCUGCAGAAAUCCGAGAGUCCCUGGGAAAAGACUUGGAAAGCAAUUUUGAGUAGGAGGAUUAAGCUCCUAUAUACAGCACAGCCCCCAAACUAGUUGUUUUCAUGAUUAUACCCUGCUUUUUUCUGACCCUAGCACCGCUGGCUGAGGUUGCAGGAAGAGCUUCCAGAGAAGACUGGGAUGUGACCGGAGCCAAGGAACGCGGCUGAGUGCACUACUGCAAAACAAGCCAGGGGCUUUCAAGGUACUAAGCCAAAUCCCAAACCCAUGGAAAUCAGCCUAAUCCCAUGGAAAUCAAUGAGGGUAAAUCCACAGCUGGUAGAAAUCAGCUGGGCCCCUUCGAGGCCUGUGGAGCUCGUGGCAAACCUCCGAUUUCUUUGUCACUGGGUUUAAAACAAUUGGAUGCUAGUCGCAGAGAGUGAAACGUGCCCCUGUGCCGAGGACCCGUGCCAGGCAAGGUACUACGUAUGCCCCAUUGAAACACUUUAAGACAAAUCCUGUUUCUGGGUGAAAGCAGUGGAACGAUGCUCAUGGAGGAGCUGACCCACCACGACUUGGGCAAAAGAGGACCAUAAAUGGGUACAAAAAUCAGACUUCUCUCUCCAUCUCAGAAGGUCUGGGCUCUUGCUGGAUAAUUUAAUUUAAAAUCAGGUUACUUAUACACCUCGCAUGAUUUCUCUUAAGUACCAACAUGGUAUCAGGGUGCAAAGCUACCUUAAACACACUUGCAAAGGGAGGCAGCCCAUUGCAUCUCUUCCCUCGUUGUUCCCAAUACCAGCCAUCGUUUUGGCUCAUGGUGUUGGCUGCAGCCUGUGCUCCUUUGAGCGCUGUGUGCCCCUCUGCACCAGGUCUUGUUUCCUGGAGGGUUUGGCUUCUCCAAGGCAUCGUCUGCAGCAUCAGGACAUUGUCUGUUCUCCAUUAGCUCCUGUCUGUACUGGCUGCAUCCCACUGCUUGGACAUCUCUAUUUGCAUUGUCAGGGGUUAAUUCUGAGCUGUCCACUAGUGUUGUGUUGUCUCAGCUAUCAACCUCUUAUUAGGCCUCCAGCGUUUCACCUCAACAACCACAAUGCACAUGUUCAUCUCAACGUCACCUUUUGUUGGGAAUAAUGGCAACAUGAUCCAACUCCGUGCUACCUAGGUGUGACACUCAACCUCAUCUUAACCUUUCAUAAUCAUCGCUGAAAAAUAGCUGUGAAGACCAUGAGUUGGGUGAACAUGGUGUGAACACUCGGAACGAGCUGGGUUGCCACCGCGGGAGUACUUUGUACCUCUUCUAUGGCUUUGGUCUUCUCAACGGCUGAGUACUGUGCACCUGUCUGGGCUGCUAGCCCUCAUACCAAAUACAUGGAUGUCCAGCUAAAUUCUGCAAUGUGUGCCAUGACCAGAACCUCAAAAAUUACACUAAUUCAAUGGUUACCAGCACUGGCCAACAUUGCUCCUCCAGACAUUCGCCGCGACAAAGCUACAUCCAGAAAAAUUGUCUGCGUGAAUGACAACCCAAACCUCCCCGUCCAUAGAGAUUUAAAGAACCUCCCAGAUCACUGCUUGGUCUCCUGGAAGCCUUUGUGGACUUGUGUACAAGCCCUUGUAGGACAUGACAGUGCAGCAGCUUGGAGGAAAAUGUGGAACGAAACCACCAUUUGCAACAAACAUCUACUUUCUGGCCCAACAAUAAAGCCUCCUGGUUUUGACCUUCUGCAAAAAAACAUGGAAGCUAUUAAAUUGGAUCCAAACCGGGCACAGCCGCUGCGGUCACUCAAUGCACAGAUGGAGUAUUAAUCAUCCUGCAGAAUGUGACCGUGGCAAUCCUGAUCAAAUGAUGGAGCACAUAACAAUACUCUGCCCACUAUACAAAUUUGAUGGUGACAUUGCAGAGAUACACUCCCUUUCCUCAAGAACAUUAAGGUUAACUAACCUUAAACUGGACUUACAAUUGUUGCUGCAAGUCCAUCAUACAAAAGAAGAAGCAACAACCCUCCAGGAUUGCAAGGCUGUCUCUGGCUUGAGAGCAAUCACAAGACCACUCUGUAGUUUCACCUCCCUUUUGUUCGCUCUCUUUAGAAAACACCACUCUCACCUUUCCAUUUGGGGAGCUGAGCAGUGCAGUGCUCCUCACGUUGCUGUAAUACAGCCUCCUCUGCACAGACCUGUGUGAAUAUUAAGGGACAGAUCCCUUAUAUUGACAAGCAUUCUCAAAAGGGCGGUAGCCCCAUUGAAAUGAAUGGAGAUGUUUCUGGAGGAAGGUGCUGCAUCACACAAAAGCAGAGCAGAAUCUAGGCCCAAGGUUGGAAUCUGGCCCAUACGCACCCAACUUGGACACCCAAGUUUAAAAGUCUGGCUCUUACAACUCAAGUGUCCAGGGUCUGGAAUGGAUCCCCCCAAAGGUGGUACAAUCACCUACUCUGGAUGUCUUCAAAAAAUGUCUGGAUGCUCACCUUGCUGGGGUCAUUUGACGCCAGAAGUCUUUCCUUCCCAAGAGCGGGGUGGCUGCACCUGAUGAUCUUGAGAGGUCCCUUCCAGACCCUAAAAUCUAUGAAUCUAUAGCAGUGUUGACCAGCAAGCCAUCCAGCAUUGCAUUUGGCUCUGAAGUUCCUCACCUGCAAUGAAGACCAAGUAACAGAACAACAUGAUCAGCAUCUUCUACUGUUUCGCAGAGAAGUAAUGAGGCUUGUCCUUCUCAUCCAAAACAGCCUCUAUACGCUCUUUAAAACCAGUGCAUUGAUCUUUGCUUCUGUUAUACCAGUGGAAUAGCUGGUGCAAUAAUGUGGUCAUGCAAUUUCUGCUGAUUUUGGCAGGAGGAUUGGCUUGGCUUUGCAUGCCAUUUGCAUUUUGGGUGCCUAUAGGGUGAUGUCCCCAUUCUCUGUUUAGUGCCUACCAUCCUGAAUGAGAGGCAGAGACCCCGAGUCAUUUCUCUUCGUGGAAAAAUCUGUUUUCUGUAAGGAUCGGACAGGCUCAUGACUCACCCACCUUUGAUACCAGUGUUAAACAAGAGACAAGGCAGCCAGAGCAGACACUUGUUUCUUCCAGAAGACGCUCCAACACCAAUCUUGCUGGGUAUGACUGUGCCUUUAGGAACAGCCCGGAGCCAGGGGUGCUUUCUACAAGGGACCCCAUGAAGACCCCCAAAGAGAAAACACUGUGAGAAAUCACCCAGCUCACUUCCACGCUGUAAUGAAUUGGGAUGUGGGUGGUCUUUACAGUCUGUUUUCUUUCAUUACAACCUGCUAGUAGAUCAGACCAUGCAUUUGGAUAAGAUGGUUUGGAUAGGGAUGGUCUUGCCUCGGGCAGGAGGUUGGACUAGGUGGCCUUUGGGGGUCCCUUCCAGCCUGACUUCUCUAUGAUUCUCCUUUUUCCAUGGUGGUAGGAACGUGUGGCCAGGGUGUAGAUCCUUUUAGCCACAUGGGAUAAUGGUCCCCCUCGGUUGUCUUCAAUGGGACUCAUGUGAGGAAGUGCUCAUCACAUGUAAAGAAUACACAUCCUCCAGCAGCAAUAAAUUAUUGCUCUGCCGGCCAUGUGCUGGCUUAGCUUUCCUGGUCAACAGGUCAGGAUAUGGACCUAUUUUCUGUCCCCCCAGGCCCACACCUCACCACCUGAUUUGGAGAGGGUUGUGUGUGGGGAGCCCUAUUUCCUUUCCUGAACAUAGACCCGGGGCCAGGGUAGACCCCAUGGGCUCUUAAGGGUCCUUAUUGUGAGCUGAUGGGAAGGCAACUCCAAGUCUAAAUCUGCUCCUUGUGGUCAAGCGAAUCUAAGGAAGUCCCUUCUGGACCAGCCCUUCUGUAUACUAUCACCUCCCCUCCAGCCACUUAAUUAAUAGAUUCAUAGAGAUUCAUAGACUUAAGGGCUGGAAGGGACCUUGCGAGACCAUCAAGUCCAGCCCCGCUGCCAUAGGCAGGAAAUAUGCUGGGGUCCCCUCUGAGCCUGUGCUUCUCCCCACUGAAGAGUCCCAUGUCCCUCAUCCUCUCCUCGUAAGGCUUGCUCUCUUGGUCUUUGAUCAUGCAAAUUUUUGCAUCCUCAAGGUAGCUUGGACCUCAGUUCUGGUUUUUUUUUUGCACCUUAGCAAUAUUUCUCCUCUGUAAAACAAGGCUAAGAAUAGGAGAUGGACCUAGUGAACACAGAUGAGACCACAUCUGGAGUCCUGUGUCCAGUUUUGGGCCCCCGCUACAGAAAGGAUGCGGACACAUUGGAGAGAGUCCAGCGGAGGGCAAUGAAAAUGGUUGUGGGGCUGGGAGACAUGACUGGUGAGGGGAGGCUGAGGGCACUGGGCUGAUGUAGUCUGCAGAAGAGAAGACUGAGGGGGAUUGAAUAGCAGCCUUCAACUACCUGAAGGGCAGCUUGAAAGAGGAUGGGGCUGGGCUGUUCUCAGUGGGGGCAGAUGACAGGGCAAGCAACAAUGAUCUCCAGUUGCAGCAAGGGAAGUUGAGGUUGGAUAUUAGGAAGAAUUUUCUCACAAAGAGGGUAGUAAAACACUGGAAUGGGUUACCCAGAGAGGUGAUGGCAUCUCCAUUUAUUGAGGACCCGGCUAGACAAAGCCCUAGCUGGGAUGAUGCAGUUGGGGCUGGUCCUGCUUGGAGCAGGGGGUUGGACUAGAUGUGACCUCCUGGGAUCCCUUCCACCCUCAUUGUCUGUGAUUCUAUGACCUUAGCCACAAAAAUGGGAGUGGAAAUCUUCUCCCUUCAAUCCUGGAGGUGGGACGAAAGCGUGCCAGCUUCAGGACACCUACUGUUUCCACCUGUGGCCCAAGGCAUACAGAAAAAAGGGCUCACUGGUGAAAUAGCUUGGUCCUAACCCAUGACGUUUCCCUCGGAUGAUCCAUAGCGGGGAUCAAAAUGGGUUUUUUUGCCAUUCUUCCUAUUGGUUCUGCUUCCGUGAUAUCAACAGGGGGGCAGAGAAGUUCCUGAUGCAAUGGGGAAGUUGCUGAUUUUAUUUUCUAUGUUGCUUUAACAUUAUAAAUUCCAAUUGCACUAUCCUGGAAGACUCAGCAUGACCCCUUGCAUUUAGUAGGGUUGUGACUGCCUCUGCGUUUGUGCAGGGGGUUGGGUCAGGUAACCCCUGAGGUCCCUUCCAACCCCAAGACAUCACAAAGACGAAGGAAGUGAGACCUACGUAGAAGGUUCGCCACUGCUCCUUUCAAGUCCUUCAAGGUGGUACCACCAUCACAUUCCCACACUGUGUCCAGCAACCACGAGGGCUAGAAAAUGAGUUAGAAUAAAAAGGAAAACACUCGAUUUCAGAUGCUAGGAUUGUAAAAAAAACAAAUAUCCCCUGACUUAGCCACAAAGAUCAUAAAGAGCAAAAUCCACCCCGGCACAGACAGGCAACUCUGGCUCAUCUGUCAGCAAAGUCCUUCCUGUCCCCCAAAUUGGAAAGUAUGUGGGAUUAAGGUGUGCACGAGCCUGCUGUUAGUUUGAUCCCACCCAGGUGCACCGAGUAGCCAGGAAACGGCGACAGUUUCCACUGUCACAAAAAUACUUAGGAUGAUGUUAAGCAACUGGAGAAAUCAAGUCUCCAAGGGAUGACCUUUCAGAGGGACAAAUAUCCUGUGCUUGGGGAAGACCCCCCAUUCCCAGCAAUGGCAAUAAUUUGCUAUCUGAUGAGCUAACCUCCUAGGGCUCGAAUUCAAGAGCUUAGAUUGUAGACUAGUGAAAUGGGGUAAAAACUCGACUGUCGUUAGUCAUUAAAGGUCAAGAAACGCCUUGCUGGUUUUGACAUUUCUCGCUGGCAAUUCUGAGCUGCGGUGCUCACCACCCGAUAAAGCCUGGACUGUGAGUCACAUGAACAAUAUGAAAGUAGAAGCAGCAACGUAUACCGGCAACUGGGUUUUAUGAGUCCUCGUGUAAUUUAUGGCCAUCUCAUUGAUGUGGUCAGAUUGGAAUAUUCGUUGUAGGCCUAUGGCAAAUCUUUGUGAGCUUUAAGGAAAGGAAACAUUUAUAUUGGCCAGACGUUUUGGAAUAAUAAAUCAAAAACUCAGCAAUCCAUUACAACAAUAUAGAUAGGAACCUGAAGGCAGAUUUCUGGACACAUUUCAGAGGCCUGCUCUUACUUAUGUCAUAAGGAAAUUAGCCAGCGUGAGGACGGUGGGUUUGACAGCCCAGUGGUAUUAUUAAAAGACCUUCUUUAAAGGGAGAGAAAGCCUUGGGCUGUGGGGGUGGGGUAGGCAUGUUGCUGUAGCUUAAAAUGAAUAGAAAUGAGUCUGAUGAAACAGUAGAGAGUCGCAUAUAUUUUUCCACUUCCUCCUGCUGGCUUGCAGAGAGCGAGGAGUGCUCACAGGAAAGGGGCAUGGCUGGAAGGAAGGGGCUGUUUGCAGACCGAGGAAGUCAGAGCAGCCUCCAAACUGCUCUAAUUCAACUCCCUCCAAGAGGCUGCUGUGGGCUGGGAGGAUCCCCAGAGUGAGCUUUUUCUAUCCUGUGCCUUGAGCCCUAGCUGAGAGGUCCGACUCUGGGUAUCCGGCCCUACGGCUUCCAGGGGGAAAUGCAAACCCAGGCUCCCGACACGUCUCUCGAUCUGCAGCUGUGGGCUUGCCAAAAUACACAAUGAGACGGUGCCAUUCGGAAGGGAAAGUCUUCAGCACAGCUGCCUGCGAGAAGCCAACAGGCCGGAGAGCAGCCAGGAGUGGAGGCAUCCGUGGCAGUGGGGAGCUGGGGAUUUCUGGCCGAUUUGCUGAGCAUUGACUGUGUCUACGUUUCUACCUAAUCAAAGACAGCUGGAGAAGGAGACACCCAUGACAGAGUUUGAACCUGUAUGGGAUGUUUAAUAGGUAAAACCACCGCAGUAACCGGAGGCCUGAGAAAAUGACUCCAGUGGAAAGUGCAAGGAUGAUCCUUUGGGAAUGAUGGGGUUUCAAGGACCAGCCUGAAUAGGAAACGGUGCCUUUAAGAUGGUAGGGGCCAACCUUUUUUUGGCAGCUGCACCACAAGGUGUGUUGGCUCAAUCCAGUCCAUCCACAUGCAUAUGCUUGUUCAUCUGUGCAGUCCUACCUCCACCAGGCAGGCAGCCUCCGGAGAGGAGAAGCUAACUGCAAAACCAGUGCCUCCUCCCACAGCACUGGAACGACUCGGGUGUAACGUUAUCCCGUGAUGGACCCCAUGCAAAGUUGGUUCCUGUAGCUAACAUUGAUGUCAAAGGGCCGGGAUGAUGUUAUGCCGCCAUGGCUCGUGAACUUUGCAAUCAUGUGACGGACAACACAUCUCUCUUGCUUCUCCUGUUACCCCUUAAUCUAUCUGCGUCUUUCUCCCUCCUUCUUCCAGGCUGCUAAAGAAGUUUUCCUUCUUCACCCUUUCCCCCACUGCCAGCUUUUUCGGUAGAAGAGAAGCUCUGAUCCCCCAAUAGCCGAACAAAAAGCAUCCCUUCUACUUGGGUGGACCCCACUUGUGGUCCAUAGUUUCAGUGCAUCUCUUUGCAGUUCCUGAGACUCAGCCUGGACCAUCAAAACCAGGUAACUGCGCCUCAGACCCAGACAUGACUUUCACUCCACGGGGUAGCAUCACUGCUGCCAAACACACUAAUUAGCAAGUGGCAAAGAGAGACUUAUGCCUGUGUGGGGUCAUGAAAUCUCAACGUCCUCUGCCUCAGGUAGCUACAGGAACUGAUAGGCCUCCCUGUCUUGGGAACAAGGAGUACAGAAAUCACUGUGGGUGGAGUAUUAAUGACUUCCACUGCACCAGGGAUGAUCAUCUACCUCUUUCCUAUUAUGCUAAAUUAUGGGAUAAAUCCUGACCUCAUUACAUCCCAGACAGCUUCGUGGGAUAGAAUGGAAAUGCCCAGCAUGAGAGGGGGAAAACGAUCCUAAAUCCCCUCUUCUGCAUCAUGACGGUGCUGGAACGACAAUGCAGAUGUCAUUCGAUUUGCAAGAUAAAUGUUGACAAUGCAGAGGUCGUUCGAUUUACGAGGGGCGAUUUACAAGGUCCCUGUGGGUGGGAGGCGAGUCAGCUGUGCUGGUACAGAUUGCUGCAAAAGGUUUGCGGGUCUGCUGGGAGUUGGGCAAUCUUGCCAAGUGUAUAGGGCACUGACCUAGGGGUCAAGACACCUGGGUCCGAUUCCUGUCUUGACUUCAGUGUGACCUCAGCUAAAACAUUUUGACUUUCUUUCCCCUCUGUCUGUCCUAUUUAGACUGUGAGGCCUGCAGGGCAGGAAUUUCUCCCUAUUAUAUGCCUGUGUGUUGCCAAAUAAUGAUCUGAAUGGACACCUCCCCAUAUUAUCUUAUUGCAACCAUUGCUAUGGUUAUGGUCGCAUACAGCUUAUCACAGGGCUGCUCUGUGGGUCCUCCUAUUGUGCUCUGAGAUGCCCAGAAAGGUCUUUGGGAACUGACUGGGCACUGUAUAAAACAGGAUCAGACUGAUUAUGACUUGCUGGAAGCAACAAACUGUAGAGGAGGGAGAAAAAGUAGCAUUAGGAUGCCACCCUCUCUCUCCAAUCCCAUCACUAGGCACGGAAAACCAGCAGUAUGUUGGCAGAGGGAGAACAGCUGGAGGGGUCCGAGAUGCGCCAGGGUGUCAGCUCCCAUAACAACCAUGCAUGCUCAUCCCCAAAUCUACCCGGGCACGCUGUGUCACCAGGGCGCUGAUCUGCUGCUUGGAAUAAACUGUCGGGUAAGAUCAUCGUUAGGAGGUUAUUGUAACCGGAGUCGCUGGAAUGGCUCUUGGCGGGCACCGAGCUCUGUGGUCUGGCGACGGCACUGGGGAUAAUUCUGCCCAGCUAUCUGGGAUUGCCUGCUAAUACAAAAUGCCAUUAUCCAUCUCGUUAGCUGCAACUGGCCUUUAUUUACAUUUCCACUUAGCUAGGUAGUUUCCUUAAGACCCCAAGAAUUCAAAACACAGACGUGUCAUUAAGACGUUUCAAAUACCCACAUGUUUAACAAAAACAUCUGAUGUGUGUGGAAAGCCAUCGGAGUGCUUCUCUCUCUCUCGUUUUUAAUAAAGAACAAAUGCAAAUAAUAGGCUGAAUCCCCCAUUGCAAUCGUGACCCCUCGCAGGAGGGAUUUGCAGCCAGGGGGCAUGGAAGCAGCCCUGAUAUUUUUAUGUUCUUCAAAAAGAAAAUAUUUGAAAUAUUAGGUUACAGGAUCUGCUGGGAUGGGACUCAGCCAGGUCGCUGACAGUGGGUGAAACGUAUGUCUGCAAAGAACUAGGAAAAGACAUGGGAAAAGGUUUUUUUUUUUUUUUCCUUUUUCCCCCUUCUUUCUUGGCUGGCCCAUUAAAAGAAUAGAUCUCUGUGUUUUUGUUGUCGUUGGCUGCUCUCGAGCUGGGCAGAGAAGGGGAGACGAGGAGACAGAAUCAGAAAAAUUUGGAGAAAAGGAAAAGUCGAGCAAGCAGCCUUGGCUAAGGGAGGGUAGUCUCCAUUACUCCAGGCCUUUUUGCUUUGCGUUGUGCAAAGCUUCUCCCCUCCCUCGUCCCUCGGACCCUACACCGACACCAUAAAGUCUUUCCUAAGUUUUCUCCUGGCUGCCUCUGGGUCUCACAAAUCCUGAGCAAAGCCAGUCGAACCCCAAGGGGUGUCCGCUACAUCCCGUGUGCUAUGGGUUCCUCGGCGGGGACCUGCAGAGUUGGCAUGGCCACAUUUGCAUCUACUCUUCCAGGACCUGACCUCCCUCCGCUCUGUUCAGCACUGGAGUACCGUGCCCAGCUUUGGGCCCCACGUUUCAAUAAGGAUGUGGACAAUUUGGAAAGCUGUCCAGUGGAGAGUGGGAGGAAAAGAAAAGAUUAGAGGCCUGGGAAGCAUGACUUCUGAGAAAACCCUGAAAGAACUAGGGUUAUUUCAUCUGGAGAAGGAGGGAGAAUUUGAUAACAGCCUUCAAAUCCUUGAUUUCAUAGAUUGCAUAGACAUUAGGGCUGGAAGGGAUCGUGGAAGACCAUCGAGUCCAGCCCCCUGCCACAGGGGCAGGAAGUCAGCUGGCGUCACAGGAUCCCAGGGUCAAAGGAUGGUCUCUGACGGCAGGGAACAGGACUAGAAGCAAUGGUCUCAAGCUGCACCAGAGGAAAUUUAGGUUGGAGACGAGGAGGAACUUUAUGACUAUGGGGGUGCUCAAGCAUCGGAGCAGGCUGUCUGGAGAAGUUGUGGAAUAUCUCACCCUGGAAAUCUUCAAAAUCAGGUUGGAUAGGGAUGGUUUAGUCAAAGAUGAUCCUACCUUGAGCAAGGGGCUGGGCUAGAUGACCUCCUGAGAUCUCAUCCAAGCCUACUUUCCUAAUACCCUCUGAUCCCACUUUGGGGAAGAGGGGUCAUAUGUGUCCUAUGUGGGUGGCAGAGCAGACAAGCUUUCCCUAGAGAGCCUGCAUGUGAGAAAGACCCGAGGAAGGAGGAAAUAUGCCCAUGCCCAGAGAAGAAGAGGCAGAGGGACGCUGAUAGCACCUCCCUAUUGACUGGAAAACCAACUGGAUCCCCUCUUCCAUGUGGACCCCCCAAUGAGAUGCUUCAGCUUGUUACCCAACACACACACACACACACACACACACACACACACACGUCUUUGCACUUCAGGCCUGCCAAGCCGUGUACCCUGCGGUCUCCAGGAAGUGCUCAGACAAUGAAGUCUCUCCACACAAUUUGACCGGGAUCCUCAAGCCGACCCCAAGCAGAAGGAUAGAGUUGCUGUGAAACCUUUCCAAAAUAGCCCGUGACCCAAAAGAAAAUUAACAGUGAACAACAACAACAAGAAAAAAAUGCAGCCAGCAGCAUAAAAAAGAGCCCAUGCUGUGCCCUCACCAGCUCCUUCUCUGUAAUUAAGUGAAAAUGCUGGAGGUUUGGUGUUUUUUUGGUUUUUGUUUUUUUUUUAAACUGUCCUCCAGUUUCCUUAGAAAGUCUUAUAUUCUUUUCCUGGGUAAACACACUGCAGAAGCUCAGAGGAAUUUGCUCUCCCUGCUUUCCUUAUCCCUUGUUUCUUGCUUUUUUGGCCUUGUUUCUUGCUUUUUUGGCCUGUCAUUUCUAAUUUGGGAGCCGUGGUAUAGUUUUGCCCCAUGGGGCAGGGAACUGUGGGGCAGCAGGAGGGGAGGUUUUAGCUCUAUGUGACCCAGGCAAAAUGGUUCAGCAUGCUGCAUGAAUGCAGCCUGACUUCAGGUGGCAAGGAAAAGAGGGCCGCUGGGUUGUAUGUAGCAGCUCAGAGCUUGUUCAUUAAGGUCCGUGCCAGGAGGAAUUAGGUAGCUGAACCGGUAAUAGCACCGGCUGGAGUCCUACUUUGGACAGGCCUCUGGGGAUUUAACAAAUGCACUGUUGGAAAAGGUCAGGAAAUAAUCAUUUUAAGUGGAAAACAUGAACAUGAAUGAAAAGAAAAGCACCUAAAUGUCUCCUUGGACUUAUUUAUAAGCAAAAAUGUAAAUGGCUAUGAUAUGCUGGCUGAACACCUGCAAGGCUGAGUCUGAGAUAACUACUGAGGUGCCUCACCGGCAUUGCACAUCUGAUGUCAUGUGUUCCUCGCUCCAUCUGCAAGCCAAACCCCGUCAUUACACUACACAUCCCAUGAUGCACCAUGGUUUCUUGCAGGGAGAGAAAGCAAUUGUGUCAUGGAAGAUAUAAUCAUGCAGGAAUACUGGAACAUGAAACAUCUGCUGGACAUAUCUUCGAAUAUCGGAUGGACAAAGCCUUGGCUGGGAUCAGAUAGUUGGGUUCGGUCCUGCUUGGAGCAGGGGGUUGGAUUAGAUGUGAGCUCCUGAGGUCCCUUCCACCCUCAUUUUGUAUGCUUUUAUGACUCUGUGAUAUCGGAGUCCAGCUCUUUUGGUGUAUCGUUAGUCCUUUUUAUUUUCCAGAGCUUUGAUUUUCCAAUUAGAAGUCAAGACAGAAUGCAGAAAAUGAACAUGCUUUGCAAAAACGAGCCAUACAAUGAACCUCCCAAUAUGCCACCGAAUAAGAUUCUUCAACAGAAAUGGAUUGAAACAGCCUUUAGGUGACAAUGCAAACAAAAUUGGCUGCAGGAAUGUCAGACAUGGCUCCACUUCCACGCUUCCAGUCGCCUGGUGCAGCCCUCCCGGCACCCAACAUAGUGAACGUCAUGAAUGCCAGUUUGAGCCAUCUGCGUCUCCCCAACGGGAACUUUAGGUCCCUGACCUGACUUGGAGGAUUUAAUUUUUGGAGCCAAAAUAUAUAUUGCAUCCCACCUCUACAGUCUGUUUCACAUAGAGGAUACCCUUCUACUUCUUCAACCAGCCACUCCUUUAGCUCUUGGAGAGCACUAUCAUAUACUUAUACUGGUAUAUAGGGUGCAUCUACAUGUUCAUUAAUGCACCACAGCUACUGCAUGUUAAGUUUAGCAUUUGGAUAACCAAGUAAUAAAUUAAUGCACAGUAACUUGUGCUACUGUCCAGUA